rnacentral:rRNA from 1 species
UGGGGAAUAUUGGACAAUGGGCGCAAGCCUGAUCCAGCCAUGCCGCGUGAGUGAUGAAGGCCUUAGGGUUGUAAAGCUCUUUCGCCGACGAAGAUAAUGACGGUAGUCGGAGAAGAAGCCCCGGCUAACUUCGUGCCAGCAGCCGCGGUAAUACGAAGGGGGCUAGCGUUGUUCGGAAUCACUGGGCGUAAAGCGCACGUAGGCGAAUUGUUAAGUCAGGGGUGAAAGCCUGGAGCUCAACUCCAGAACUGCCCUUGAUACUGGCAAUCUCGAGUCCGGAAGAGGUAAGUGGAACUGCGAGUGUAGAGGUGAAAUUCGUAGAUAUUCGCAAGAACACCAGUGGCGAAGGCGGCUUACUGGUCCGGUACUGACGCUGAGGUGCGAAAGCGUGGGGAGCAAAACAGGAUUAGAUACCCUGGUAGUCCACGCCGUAAACGAUGGAGGCUAGCCGUUGGCGAGCAUGCUCGUCAGUGGCGCAGCUAACGCAUUAAGCCUCCCGCCUGGGGAGUACGGUCGCAAGAUUAAAACUCAAAGGAAUUGACGGGGGUCAUAGCUG